GGGCUUUGGCUCAGCACAAAUACAACAUGGAAAGGACAGGAUUCUUAAUAUUGACCAGGCGUGUUCUCCGUUUUUUUGUAUACUGUAAUUUAGUCAUUUUAGUGAUAUUACAUUAUCUUUCAAGGUGCAAAUGUUUAAUGUGCAUUGUAAGAACUGGGACAGCUCUAGAGAACUGUCCUCACCUCCCCAUUGAAGUGACCGUGAAAAUGAUUUCCAUUAUGUGACUCAAUUAAGUAUUACAAUGUACGUAUAUUUUUCUACACAUUGUGUUUUUAUGCCACACAUUUUCCCUGAGCUUGUGCCAUGUGUGUCACUCUCUACGUUCACAUUAAUGUACUGUAUUAUUGUGACUGCACGGCUGCUCCUAUUCUCAGUGGAGAUAUCAGGCCCGUGGACAGCUCUGACCUGCCUGCCACUCAAUCCCAACACAGCUGCAGCCAUUGGCCAGUGAUGGUCGACUCCAGCUGAAAGUAAUCCAGCCAUCAGCAGAGUCCAGUUUAAGGAAAAACAGGAGCCAGUGACGUGUGGGCAAGAGGAGUCGUUCUUCAUUUCAAGUCCGUCCCCUGGGGAGCAAAUUCAAAACCUCUGGAUUAAUAACACAAACAGCCACACAUGCAGCCUGGCCCCACAUGAGCGUGUGCAGAGGGAGGGAGUGGAUGCAGGUGCUACAAUAGCUGUCUUUUUCUGCAUAAGCCGCUGGAAGGAUCACAUCAUCACACAGUCCUCUACCUGGCACUCGAUGAGUGUGCUGCCCUUAUGGUACAAAGAACAGAAAGCAUCAAGUCUGCACUUAGAUAUGAAAGGACUGAAAAAAAAAUAUUCAGGGAUGGACUAUUACAGAGGGUCAGUUGUCAAACUAUAGAGGUUUCUUUUCCUCGCUUUGCAAUCUAAUUGGUGACAGAAACACCUGAAAGUGAAAGCUACACGCACACAUAUCCUCCACAGUCCUCCCAGGGCUGCCAGCCAGCUAAGCAGACAACAAGACAAGAGAAGACAGCCAUAUAGGCCUAAACAAAACAGACAAUCACACAGCUUUGAUGUACUAUUUGCUGCUAGGCCCAUCCAUAGCCACGCUCAUGAGGAGAGACUUUUAUGUAUUCCCUCCAAACCGCAGCUCUCUGGAACAAGUGGUGCCCGCACACUGUAUUCUGACUCAUUCUACUGGGACUUUUUCAUACACUGUCUUUGAAUGAGCAGUUUGUGUAAUUAUUUCUGCAUAUGUGCAACAAUCUGGAUAAGAAAUCAAUCUUGAUUAAUUUUGGCAUAGUGAGGUCAUCAUUUCCUGCCAUUAGCCUACAGGGCCACCAUGAGUAAUUGCUGUCCCUGGGAAAAAAAAUGCCCUUGAGCUCUCCUUCCACUAUAUUAACCCUUAACACAUACCAGUCCACAUCCCCACACUUAUUACUCAACAGUCAUAAUGAUUUAAUAUAUGCAGCACAAACAUUUAUUAAUUAGUGAAUUGAUUAGGGACUGUCUCUAUGGCUUAGUUACGGUCACAUCACCAUCAGGUUUCAUGGGCAACAUUGCUAAAACAUAAGCAAAACUAUGGCUGACCAAAUAAUUACAUACACGGGGAAGCACUCUUCACUGUUCUGAGACAAAGAUAAUAUUGAUAAAUGCAUUUCCCAAAGUGUUUUGCGCAUGAUUAAUAUCCAAAUGCUGGACUUCUCUUGUGCCAAAAGGGUGUAUAAGAGGAGAUCAAAUUUGCAUCUGCAUCCUCCAACGCUUUCCUAUUCCUUUUUCUGUAAUACCUAGCUGUAGAAUAUUUUGCACAACAAUCUGGUUUCUCAUAUAAACUGUCUAGAGUUCUUUGCUUCAAAUUGACCAUUAGAGUGCCCAAAAACGCAGCAGAAAAAACAGCUUGUGUGCAUCAGCCACAGGCCCCCUCAUUUCACAAGGUUGCCCUCAAAUCCUGACUUUGCUGUUAUGUAGUAUACUGUAUAUUAUCUGUCUACUGUAUGUUAGCAAUGUUAGGAUGAGAUAUUUGUCUGGAUUAACAUGCCAUCCUUCUCAGCAUAAAAAAAAAUGACUACAUGUAAUGUGAAAAGGGUCACUCAUUGCAGAGAGGAUUAUCACACAUAUCUGCAGAGUACUUAGGAGCAUUUCAGCGUCUUUCAGCUAAUUGUUUUGGUUUUAAGGCUUACAACUGUACUGUUUUGGCUCACUCUCAUCAUCGUGGUUUUGAGGGGCAGUGAGCAGGUGUUUUCAGUGAAAAAGCUCUGUGAGCUAUUUGUUCAGCAAUGGUACAUGAAAAAAAAAAUAGCUACAAGUUGGUGAAGAAUUUCAGAGGAGCUAAAUAUUUCCUCAGGAUUUGGUGGAGACCAGAACAGAGCUAAAACAACUUGUUUGUCAGAUGGACAAAAUAUUGCUCCAAGUAAACACUAUUGUUGAUCUUUUUCUGCUGGAUAUGUCACACAAAUAUUUUACCUAUGUGUUCAUCAUAUCAACUCUAUAUAAAGCAUGUUGCUCUUCUACCAAAUGGCCAACAAAUGAAAUAAUGUAGGUUUAACAUUAGAAUUUCCCCAGUGUUAUGAUGAAUUUCCUCUUUUGGGUGAACCGUUCCUUUGAUAACAUGUCUUAUUGGUAAAUAUGUAAUACUUCAGUGUUGCAAUUUUUACAUUUCAGGGGCAACGACAAAAACAUGUAAAAUU